ensembl:lncRNA
CGCUGCCCUUGCAGCUGUGUUCCUCGUGGCUCAGCAGCGUGAGCGCGAUUCUUCCUGGCGAGAGAAGCUCGGAGAAGCCGGAGCUCUUUUCGGGUUUUCCUUUAGCGACAGCUCGCCCCGCGUCCGGUCCCCAGGGAAAGCCCCGCGCGUGGCCUGGCCCUGCGCUCCCGGCGGGCUCCGCACGGGGCUGCGGACCGCGGAGCCGGGCCGAGGGCGCGCGCGGCAUUGGGGGGUGGUUUGGGGCCGCGGGCGGCGGCGCGCGGGUUUCGGGGGUGACGUCGAGGAACCAGGCCCAGGAAGUCCCCGCGCCCCGGGCACCAGGACCGCGACCGCUCGAGCCGCCCAGCUGGCGGGAAUCACUCCUGGGGACAGUGUGUGUGCGCCGGGGAGGGGAAGGAGCGGUCAGUGGCGAGGACGGGGCUUCUCUGCCCCCUCGAGAGCGCUCCCCCGCGCUUUGCAGGCGUCCUGAUCAAGGCUGCCAGAUGGGUUCCAGAGCAGACUCAUAAAGCCUGUUGAAGCCAGUGUUUCACAUCAUGUAAGAGCACAUGAAGCUUAUGCAGCCCGACACGCAUACCACAGUACAGCUGGUAUGAAAAUUACUAAGACCCUGUCUUAGAGUUUACUGCCUGUGGAAAGAUUCAUUGCAAAUCCCAAGUAAUCAGCUAGGAACACUACGGUCAGAUGGGGACUCUCUGAUGUGAAAUGGUUACAUAGGACAAUACCUGUCCUGUUACAAAUGACCAGAUAUCACCAGAGUUGGCAAAGGAAGAAAAUUCCUUAUAUAUUAGGUUUUGUUUUUUUUUUAAUGGUUUAGAACUUAAAAGUCAGCGAACAUUGUCCUUCUAUCACAUUUGCAGUUAAUGCAUUUUUAUCCGUAUAAUUGAGGGGAAAAGACACUUCACUGACUGCGUUUGUUGUCAGUAUCCGUUCUUGACCGUUGGCCUUUUAAACUGGUGCUAGGAUUGUUUUCCUGUCUUGGAGUUUUAGGAUCAAUGCUUAAUAUCAUUACCAUAGGUCUCGCUUAGACAACUCUCAGGAUGAGAAUGGCAGAGACUUCAGUCAUGUGGUAUUUAAAAGGGGACUCUUCUUAUAUUUUGUUACACUACUGUUGCAUUUGUGGUUGUCAUCGUCAUCAGCAGCAGCAGCACGACUGAGAUUUAUUAAACGCUUACUGUGUGCCCAGCACCACACUUCGAGAGCCUCUUCUUUAGAACACCCAUUGACAGUUGGCAGCAAAAACUGGUUUCUGCCAAACAGUGUUUCGAGAACUGCCCUGGCCAUCAUCCACGAGUUUUGGUCAGUCAAUAAACACAGAGCACCCUGCA